rnacentral:rRNA from 1 species
CGGGAAUAUUGCGCAAUGGAGGAAACUCUGACGCAGUGACGCCGCGUAUGGGAAGAAGGUUUUCGGAUUGUAAACCUCUGUUUUUAGUGAAGAAACAAAUGACGGUAGCUAAAGAGGAAGCCACGGCUAACUACGUGCCAGCAGCCGCGGUAAUACGUAGGUGGCAAGCGUUGUCCGGAAUUACUGGGUGUAAAGGGUGCGCAGGCGGGAUUGCAAGUUGGAUGUGAAAUACCGGGGCUUAACCCCGGAGCUGCAUCCAAAACUGUAGUUCUUGAGUGGAGUAGAGGUAAGCGGAAUUCCGAGUGUAGCGGUGAAAUGCGUAGAUAUUCGGAGGAACACCAGUGGCGAAGGCGGCUUACUGGGCUCUAACUGACGCUGAGGCACGAAAGCAUGGGUAGCAAACAGGAUUAGAUACCCUGGUAGUCCAUGCUGUAAACGAUGAAUGCUAGGUGUGGGGGGACUGACCCCUUCCGUGCCGGAGUAAACACAAUAAGCAUUCCACCUGGGGAGUACGACCGCAAGGUUGAAACUCAAAGGAAUUGACGGGGGCCCGCACAAGCAGUGGAGUAUGUGGUUUAAUUCGAAGCAACGCGAAGAACCUUACCAGGGCUUGACAUAUAGAUGAAUAAUUAAGAGAUUAGUUAGUCCUUCGGGACAUCUAUACAGGUGGUGCAUGGUUGUCGUCAGCUCGUGUCGUGAGAUGUUGGGUUAAGUCCCGCAACGAGCGCAACCCCUGUUUCUAGUUGCCAGCACGUAAAGGUGGGAACUCUAGAGAGACUGCCGGUGAUAAACCGGAGGAAGGUGGGGAUGACGUCAAAUCAUCAUGCCCCUUAUGGCCUGGGCUACACACGUACUACAAUGGCGUCUACAAAGAGCGGCAAGCCUGUGAAGGCAAGCGAAUCUCAUAAAGGACGUCUCAGUUCGGAUUGAAGUCUGCAACCCGACUUCAUGAAGCUGGAAUCGCUAGUAAUCGCGAAUCAGCAUGUCGCGGUGAAUACGUUCUCG